GUCCAUGCCGUAAACGUUGGGCACUAGGUGUGGGACUCAUUCCACGAGUUCCGUGCCGUAGCUAACGCAUUAAGUGCCCCGCCUGGGGAGUACGGCCGCAAGGCUAAAAACUCAAAGGAAUUGACGGGGGCCCGCACAAGCGGCGGAGCAUGCGGAUUAAUUCGAUGCAACGCGAAGAACCUUACCAAGGCUUGACAUACACUGGAAACCCCCAGAGAUGGGGGCCUCUUCGGACUGGUGUACAGGUGGUGCAUGGUUGUCGU
rnacentral:rRNA from 1 species